rnacentral:tRNA from 1 species
AGUAAGGUAAGCUAAAUUAAGCUAUCGGGCUCAUACCCCGAACAUGUUGGUUAAACCCCUUCCCUUAUUA